CAACCAUCAAGCCCCCGGGCUUGUGUUGGGGACCUGCGGCUGCCCGCAGGCCCUGAAAACCAGUGGCGGGCUCGCUAGUCACACCGAGCGUAGUAGCAUACAUCUCGCUCAGGGCGUGCUGCGGGUUCCGGCCGUUAAACAGCCUCUGCGCUACACCCAA
rnacentral:misc_RNA from 1 species